rnacentral:rRNA from 1 species
GACGAACGCUGGCGGCGUGCCUAAUACAUGCAAGUCGAGCGCAGGAAAUCAUCCGAACCCUUCGGGGGGACGUUGAUGGAAUGAGCGGCGGACGGGUGAGUAACACGUAAAGAACCUGCCCUCAGGUCUGGGAUAACCACGAGAAAUCGGGGCUAAUACCGGAUGGGUCAUCGGACCGCAUGGUCCGAGGAUGAAAGGCGCUUCGGCGGCGCCUGGGGAUGGCUUUGCGGUGCAUUAGCUAGUUGGUGGGGUAAUGGCCCACCAAGGCGACGAUGCAUAGCCGACCUGGGAGGGUGAUCGGCCACACUGGGACUGAGACACGGCCCAGACUCCUACGGGAGGCAGCAGUAGGGAAUCUUCCACAAUGGACGAAAGUCUAAUGGAGCAACGCCGCGUGAACGAUGAAGGCCUUCGGGUCGUAAAGUUCUGUUGUAAGGGAAGAACAAGUGCCGCAGGCAAUGGCGGCACCUUGACGGUACCUUGCGAGAAAGCCACGGCUAACUACGUGCCAGCCGCCGCGGUAA